AUGGCUGUCCUGCUCCGCACCACCACCUGCGCCACCGCCACCACCGCCGGCUCCUCCUCGACCCUCCUCGCCACAACCUUCCGCCGCGGCCGCCGCCUCCUCCCGGCCCGCGCUUCGCCGCCGCGCCGCGCCUUCACUGCCCGCGCCUCGGCCGAGCCGCUGGAGGUCUGCGCCAAGGCCUCCAUCACCGUCCCCGACCGCCUCGGCGACUGUCCUUUCACGCAGAGAGUUUUGUUGACGAUAGAGGAGAAAAACCUGCCUUAUGAAUUAAAACUAGUUGAUCUUGCUAACAAACCAGAUUGGUUGUUUACAAUUAACCCAGAAGGUAAGGUGCCUAUUGUAAAGCUCGAGGACAAAUGGAUUGCUGAUUCUGAUGUUAUAACACAAGUGUUAGAAGAAAAGUAUCCUCAACCAUCCUUGGCAACUCCACCAGAAAAGGCUUCAAUAGGAUCAAAAAUAUUCUCCACAUUCGUUGGCUUUCUCAAGAGCAAAGAUACCAAUGAUGGAACAGAACAGACACUACUUAGUGAGCUGACUUCAUUCGAUAGUUAUCUAAAAGACAAUGGUCCAUUUAUCAAUGGUGGAACAAUUUCUGCUGCUGAUCUCUCUCUUGCUCCGAAAUUAUAUCACAUGGAGAUUGCUCUUGGUCACUAUAAGAAUUGGUCUGUCCCAGAUGCACUUGCACAUGUGAAAACAUACAUGAAGACUAUUUUCUCAAUGGAUUCAUUUGUCAAUACUCGGGGCCUGCCAGAGGACGUCAUUGCUGGAUGGCGCUCAAAAGUCAUGGGUUAA
rnacentral:rRNA from 1 species